AUCAGUCUGCGCCUGCGCGGUCCUCAGCCUCUGAGGGUCUGGACCAGGUAAAAGUGACCUCUACAUGACCGCGUUAGACACGGCGUAGCGGUUAGUGAGUUCCUGCUGCCUGCUCAGGCCGGUGACUAGCACCCUCACAACAGCUCGGAUUGGUGAGGGACAUGACCAAGCUGGCCCCCUCCACUGGACCAAGCAUACAGCUCCGUAUCAGAACGGUGAGCAAGGGUGACUGACAGGUCUUCCUGAACGGCGCAUAUUGGAAAACUACAACUCCCGGAAAUCCCACGCCAGAACUAAGCCUGCGCCGUUGCUAUGGGGUUUUGCUCUCAGGAGACCAGGUAUUCAGUAUCAAGAUUUUGCUCCUGGAAGUUGGAAAAUUCAAAGAAAAACUUGUCAAUACUUACAGCUUGUUGGCCUUGUCCCAUAUCGUCGCAUAAUCUGAUCAUGUGUAAAUUUCACAAAAGAUUCAUAUUGUUCUGUAAGGGAAAGAUAACAUAUACUAUCUCCAGAAAUUCUCCCCUGACUUUUGAAAAUCAAGUGUCAGGAUCACAGCUAGCUUCGUAGUUUAAAUGAUCUACUCUUAAAUUCACCUUUGUAACAGCCACUGUUCUUUUCUCUUAGAUCCCAGAGCCAAAUCCCUGCCUCCUACAUUUGGUCACUGAUCAUCUAGUUUGACUCUUGAUUUCAGCUCAGGUCAUGAUCUCAUAGAUCGUGAGACCGAGCCCCAUGUCAGGCUCCACGCU